rnacentral:tRNA from 1 species
AAGGCUUUAACUUAAUAAAAGUAUUUGAUUUGCAUUCAGAAGAUGAGGGUUAGUAACCUUCAAGUCUUA